rnacentral:rRNA from 1 species
UACGUAGGGUGCAAGCGUUAAUCGGAAUUACUGGGCGUAAAGCGUGCGCAGGCGGUUUCACAAGCUCGAUGUGAAAGCCCCGGGCUUAACCUGGGAAUGGCAUUGAGGACUGUGGAGCUCGAGUGCGGCAGAGGGAGGUGGAAUUCCACGUGUAGCAAGUGAAAUGCGUAGAGAUGUGGAGGAACACCGAUGGCGAAGGCAGCCUCCUGGGCCGACACUGACGCUCAUGCACGAAAGCGUGGGAAGCAAACAGG